rnacentral:rRNA from 1 species
GCGUGAGUGAGGAAGGCCUUAGGGUUGUAAAGCUCUUUCGGCGGGGACGAUGAUGACGGUACCCGCAGAAGAAGCCCCGGCUAACUUCGUGCCAGCAGCCGCGGUAAUACGAAGGGGGCGAGCGUUGUUCGGAUUUACUGGGCGUAAAGGGCGCGCAGGCGGUCAUUUUUGUCGAGUGUGAAAGCCCCGGGCUUAACCUGGGAACUGCGCUCGAAACGGGAUGACUAGAGAUCGGGAGAGGAGAGUGGAAUUCCCAGUGUAGAGGUGAAAUUCGU